ACUACUGAGAGUAUACCAUGAAUGACAGCAAAAGGGAGGAAGGGGCUCCCUGGCCCAGCCCACAUACUCCAAUAUAUUUAUAUUCACUUGCAAUGCCACCUCUACACACAUGAGCACAGAAGCAGCUGUUUCUGUGGUUUCUUCCUAGCACUGAGGGUUGGCCCUGAGGGAGGAGCUGUUUAUGUACAAGACUAUAACAUUGUGGGGACAGGGACUGGAAAUACACAGUACUUUGGCAUGGGGACCCAGCUUGUCGUUGUUGAUGACCUGAACAAAGUGAUUCCCCCAAAGGUGACUGUGUUUCAGCCAUCUGAGGAAGAGAUUGAGGAGAAGGGAAAGGCCACACUGGUCUGUCUGGCCACAGGCUUCUACCCGGACCUUGUGGAGCUGAGCUGGUGGGUGAAUGGGCAGGAGACCAAAGUUGGGGUCAGCACAGACCUUCAGCCCUCCAAGGAGCAGCCUAAUAGCAACUUCUCCAAGUACUCACUGAGCAGCCGCCUCCGGGUUUCUGCUCCCUUCUGGCGCAAUCCCAAGAACAGUUUCCGUUGCCAAGUAUUGUUCCAUGGGAUCUCAGAGGAUGAGCCCUGGACCAGUAACAUGAGCAAACCCAUCACUCAGAAUGUCAGUGACCAGAUCUGGGGAAAGGCAGAUUGUGGUGUUAGCUCUGAGUCCUAUCAACAAAGUAUCCAGUCUGCCACCUUUUUCUAUGAGAUCCUGCUGGGGAAAGCCAUGCUGUAUGGCCUGCUGGUCAGUGCUCUGCUAUGGAGAACUAUGGCCAAGAAAAAAAAUUCCUGAGGCCACCUGUGGAGAUAACAACAGGGAGGAGAGAGCAGGAGAAUUCAGCACCCUAUCUUGGCUACUGCUUUCUCUAUUCCUAUCCUGUGUUCCAGAAGAACUAUUACUUCCUUGGUUCCCAUCUUCAUCUUUCACAGGUCUCCUCAAAAAGAACUCUGAAGCUCACAGAGAACAAGGAUGGUGGCUUAAUCCUGAAGAAAUAAAAAAGGUCUUGCCCUGCUUAGCUGUUACCAAA